ensembl:lncRNA
ACCUGAAGAGAUAGGUUAAAGUCAAGUGUGUUUGAACUCACCUACUAGGGCUUCCCUGGUGGCUCAGACGGUAAAGAAUACGCCUGCAAAGCGGGAGACCUGGGUUCGAUCCCUGGGUUGGGAAGAUCCCCUGGAGGAGGGCAUGGCAACCCACUCUAGUAUUCUUGCCUGGAGAAUCCCCAGGGACAGAGGAGCCUGGUGGGCUACAGUCCACGGGGUCUCAAAGAGUCAGCAAGACUGAGCGACUAAGCACACAUGAGACAAACACCCUAGACACGAUCCCCAAACCCAAGAGAAGGUUCACCUUAGCCCCUUCAAUGAAACAACACGAGAAUUCCCAGCUGGUUCAGGGGUGAGCACUCAGUACAUCCGCUGCCAUGGCCAGGUGCAAGCCCUGGUUGAGGAAUUAAGAUCCUACAAAGCAAGCAACUCAGACAAAAAGAAAAAGAAAAAAAGAAACGAAACAACUCAAGUGUACCCUCCAGGUAGAAGAAACUGUGAAAGCACUCAUGGAAUACGUCCAGUUUCACUCCCUCCUAGGGCGCUACAUGCAGAGGCCUCCCAGCGGGAGGUUCAGAUGAGAGUUUCUGGUGAAAACUGACUCUAGUUGAGCCCAGCGGCUGGGAAGAGAAACAAACUCACGACGCCUCCACUCAAGAUGGCGGCAGCGGCAUCGGGCCGUGUGCACAGGGGAUGCGUCCGCAACGAGAUCCGUAACACGGGCAGCACAGCCCCACUAGUCUCGCGAGAACUCCAUCCCUUCCCCGCUGAUGAGAGUUAUUUAAAGCGGCCUGCCAUGGCGUCUUGGGGAGAACGUGUACCCUAGAGCAAAUGGUAGUUUUCCGUUCUCUGAUCAGAGAACAGAGCUUUCCUUUGCUUCUUUCUGAACUGAAUGCUGUCUCACUCUACUGGCUUGAAUGACAUCAGGCAUAAGAACUCUUGCUGGGGACCCACUGGAGGAUCAGUAACAGUUCUGAGAAUAAUUUAUGAAUCCUCUCACCUCUGUCCUCACCAUGACAAAUACAAAAUCACCCAACAACUAAUCACAAAUAAACGCUAUUAUCAGUUCGUAAAACUAAAUGGAGCAAUAGAGUGAUAGCCAUGAAAUUAAAAGAAGCUUGCUCCUUGAAAGAAAAGCUAGAACAAACCUAGACAGCAUAUUGAAAAGCCUACGGUUUUUCCAGUAGUCAUGUACCGCUGUGAGAGCUGGACCAUAAAGAAGACAGUGCCAAAGAACUGAGGCUUUCAAGCUGUGGUGUUGAAGAAGACUCUUGAGAGUCCCUUGGACAGCAAGGAGAACAAACCAGUCCAUCCUAAAGGAAAUCAACCCUGAUUAUUCAUUCACUCCACACUGUGCAGCAUGCCAGAUCUUGGUUACCCUACCAUGGAUGGAACCCAAGCCCCCUGCAGUGGAAUCGCAGAGUCUUAACCAAUGGACUGCCAGGAAAGUCUUGACAUUAAUCUUUUUAACUAGCAGUUGUUUUACAGAAUGUUUCUCAAUUUGCAUUUUUACAUGGUUUCUUCACAAGUAGAUUCAUUUAUGAUAAAACAUUUCUGGCAGGAAAACAACACAAGUGGUGUGUAUGUCACGUCAAAAAAUUUAUGUCAGCUUUUCCCAUUACUGAGGAUGUAAAAUUUGACUACUGAGGAUGUUAAAAUGGUGUCUUCCAGCCCUCACCUUUAAAAAAUACUUUUUAUCUUUGUAAUUAAUAAGCUAUCAUUUGGCUGAUAAUUUGAUAUUGUGUGAACAUCAUGCUCCCCAAGAAUCUUUCACACAACAGUUUUAGUUCAUUAAUGAUCCUUGUCAGAAACAAUUAUAGGAAUGGUUAUAAUAUAGUGAUUUAAAAAAAUUAUUCAUUGGAAUUUUUCUUCAAGAAAUAACUGUCUUCCUCUUUCAUUUUUUCCUGCCAGUGUGGAC